AAUCCUUUAMAAAGGAUCCAUUGAAGGGCAAGUCUGGUGCCAGCAGCCGCGGUAAUUCCAGCUUCAAUAGCGUAUAUWAAAGUUGUUGCGGUUAAAAAGCUCGUAGUUGGUUCUGCGUGCCACGCUGUCGGUUCGCCGCCUGCCGGUGUAACUGGCAUGCCGUGGCAUGUCCUGUCGGUGGCGUUCGGGAGCCUCGUCUAGGUGACGGCCCUUGCCACAAGCUCGGUGUCCGGAGGCCGGGGGUAUACCCGUUCGCCUACUCUAUCCUACCUAGGUGCUCUUUACCGAGUGUCGAGGUAGGCCGACACGUUUACUUUGAACAAAUUAGAGUGCUCAAAGCAGGCUGAAAUCUCUGCCUGAAUAGUGGUGCAUGGAAUAAUAAAACAGGACCUUGGUUCUAUUUUGUUGGUUCUUAGGAACACAAGGUAAUGAUCAAUACGGACAGGCGGGGGCAUUCGUAUUGCGACGUUAGAGGUGAAAUUCUUGGAUCGUCGCAAGACGCACAAGAGCGAAAGCAUUUGCCAAGUAUGUCUUGAUUGAUCAAGAACGAAAGUUAGAGGUUCGAAGGCGAUCAGAUACCGCCCUAGUUCUAACCAUAAACGAUGCCAGCCAGCGAUCCGCCGAUGUUCCUCCGAUGACUCGGCGGGGAGCUUCUUCCCGGGAAACCAAAGCUUUUGGGUUCCGGGGGAAGUAUGGUUGCAAAGCUGAAACUUAAAGGAAUUGACGGAAGGGCACCACCAGGAGUGGAGCCUGCGGCUUAAUUUGACUCAACACGGGAAACCUCACCAGKCCAGGACAUUGGAAGGAUUGACAGA
rnacentral:rRNA from 1 species